AUGCUUAUAAUGAGCUUGGCCAGCAAAGGAGGUAGCCUCUGUAUUCUCAAAGACCAUGACUUCUCAGUGCUUUCUGUGGCAUCUUCUACUGCUUGCUUUGUCCACUUGCAUUGGAGGCAGCAUGAAGCCUCAAAAGGAGUGGAUGAGUUUGAGUCGCAAAGAUCUGGACUGACAGGCAGCUUCUUCACUCACCAUGGCAUGAUGAACUGUAUUUUGGAAACACUUCUGGGAGCCCUAACUGAGCAGAGGCAGCAAGGCAAGAGAGCCAGGGUCAGGUGUGGAUGACCAGGUGGGUCCCAUGUAGGCCCCCAGCUGGGUGCCUUUCCACUCUUUUCUCUUCCCUGCCCUGUUUCCCCAUCUCAACAGUGGCAGAAUCCUUCCUCUCCCCAUAAUGGCCACUGGGGUACAGACAUCGGCUGCCUCUCCAGCCUCAUCUGGUGCAUCCACCCCUCACCAUCUGAACAGCAUGCU
rnacentral:lncRNA from 9 species